AUACUUAUUUGACAGGGGAGAUAGCAUGAUCACAAAGUUGGUUUUCCCAAGGCAAGUCUUGUCCAUUGCACUGCGGAUGUGCUGACCUGCUGUGAUUUUCCCACAUGUGGGAAACUUGAUUGCAGAAUCUGUGCUUGUGGGAUUAAAAAAAAUAUUCUA